AAGUCGUAACAAGGUUUCCGUAGGUGAACCUGCGGAAGGAUCAUUAAAAAAAUUGUCUACCAAUAUGGACGAUUUCAAAAUCCAUAUUCACCUUGUGUGCACAGUAAUUUGAAAACGGCGAGAUCUUUUUUCCUCCAAGAAGAAAGAUUUCGUGUGUUUUCCAACUACGCCUAUAACAAUUGUCUGAAACUUUUUGAUUAUUAAAUCAGAAAUAUAAUAAAAACAACUUUCAACAACGGAUCUCUAGGCUCUC
rnacentral:misc_RNA from 1 species